UGGGGAAUUUUGCGCAAUGGACGAAAGUCUGACGCAGCAACGCCGCGUGGGUGAUGAAGGUCUUCGGAUCGUAAAACCCUGUCGUCAGGGACGAAGGGUUGGGGCCUAAUACGCCUUGACCUUGACGGUACCUGGAGAGGAAGCCCCGGCUAACUCUGUGCCAGCAGCCGCGGUAAUACAGAGGGGGCAAGCGUUAUUCGGAAUUAUUGGGCGUAAAGGGCGCGUAGGCGGUUCUUUAAGUCGGAUGUGCAAUCCCCGAGCUCAACUUGGGAACUGCAUCCGAGACUGGAGAGCUAGAGUGCUGGAGAGGGUGGUGGAAUUCCACGUGUAGCGGUGAAAUGCGUAGAGAUGUGGAGGAACACCAGUGGCGAAGGCGGCCACCUGGACAGUAACUGACGCUGAGGCGCGAAAGUGUGGGGAGCAAACAGG
rnacentral:rRNA from 1 species